GAUGAACGCUGGUGGCGUGCCUAAUACAUGCCAGUCGAGCGAACAGACGAGGAGCUUGCUCCUCUGACGUUAGCGGCGGACGGGUGAGUAACACGUGGAUAACCUACCUAUAAGACUGGGAUAACUUCGGGAAACCGGAGCUAAUACCGGAUAAUAUAUUGAACCGCAUGGUUCAAUAGUGAAAGACGGUUUUGCUGUCACUUAUAGAUGGAUCCGCGCCGCAUUAGCUAGUUGGUAAGGUAACGGCUUACCAAGGCAACGAUGCGUAGCCGACCUGAGAGGGUGAUCGGCCACACUGGAACUGAGACACGGUCCAGACUCCUACGGGAGGCAGCAGUAGGGAAUCUUCCGCAAUGGGCGAAAGCUUGACGGAGCAACGCCGCGUGAGUGAUGAAGGUCUUCGGAUCGUAAAACUCUGUUAUUAGGGAAGAACAAAUGUGUAAGUAACUAUGCACGUCUUGACGGUACCUAAUCAGAAAGCCACGGCUAACUACGUG
rnacentral:rRNA from 1 species